UACAGAGGUCCCAAGCGUUGUUCGGAUUCAUUGGGCGUAAAGGGUGUGUAGGUGGCGCGCUAAGUCGGGUGUGAAAUUUCGGAGCUUAACUCCGAAACUGCAUUACGAUACUGGCGUGCUUGAGGACUGGAGAGGAGACUGGAAUUUACGGUGUAGCAGUGAAAUGCGUAGAUAUCGUAAGGAAGACCAGUGGCGAAGGCGGGUCGUCGUGGACAGUUCCUGACACUGAGACACGAAGGCCAGGGGAGCAAACGGG
rnacentral:rRNA from 1 species